CGCGCCGGCCGGGCCCUCCGCGGUAGGGCGUGGGCGCUCCCGGGCCGGCGCGCUUUCGUUUUCGUCCGGGACAAAGGUCCCCGGCGGCGGCGCCGGUCGCGGACGCGGUGACCAGGUCGUGCGGGCCACUCUUCGUGCGGCCGCUCGCUGAAUACCAGGAUGCCGGAGGAAGGAGCGGCGCGGGGCCUGGCCGUGUGUUUGCGGCCGGGCCGUUCCAGCCUCAAGAGUUGCGGGAACCGCACCGCUCUGUCCGAGGUUUCAGCGCGGAAAGGAGGCAAGCAUUGCGAACCCGGGACUCUCGGCCGAGAGUCUCUGCGGCCGUGGGCACGUUAGCACUGCGCUGGCUACGGCCAGGCGCGGUCGACCGGCAAGGGCAGGACUGUCGACCUGUGCGCUGCGGGCACGAUCCGUUCAGGGCGACUCCGGAGGACGGCUCACAGGCCUGA
rnacentral:lncRNA from 1 species